UUGUCGUAACUAGACGGUCCUGCUGUAGAACUCUUGGUCUAGCGACUCCCUCGCAGCAAAGUCUGUUUCGAAAGACGCGCACUCGUUAUGGAACACACAUUUUUCUACGUUUGUCUGGUUGUCGCUUGUUCCACACUCAUCCACUUUGCAAUGUUUUGGUCAUGCUGUGCGUCAUGUACCGUCUGCACUUGUGAUGCUUUCUUUGAACAGUUGUUCAACAUCUUCGCGGUCGGAGACGCGAUGGACGUCGCUUUUGGUUCCUGGCAUUAGUAACUGAUUUCGUGUGACCGGUUUGAAGGCCAACGAAGGUUGGAAGAACGUUGGUAUUGAGGAUGGUGUAGAAGGGACGAUGCCGAGAGAGAUGCUUCAGAUUCAUUAUUCUGAAGUACCAAUUUAACUAUACCUUUUAGUACAGGUCUGCACUUCUUCUUCUAUCAUGGUAUGUUGUAGUUUUAUUCCGAUGGAGUUUAUUGAGAUUUAGCAGUUAUUAGAAGAUAAAUGAUAAUCUUGAGUGUUGAAGGUGUGCUUUACUUUAAAAGAUGAUCCAUGAAUGUAUACGUUAAGGGAAUGACGUUGGAAGCUGGUUUUUAAUCUGAUUGCAACUGCUAUCUGGUUUCCUUGCACAUUGUGGAGAUUUUGUUCAUAUUCUGUUGAUGAAGCAUUCCCCUCGGUGGAGCAGUCGAUAAGCUUUUCUAUUUCUCUUAAUAGAUGACAUGUUUAGGACAAAUUUCAAAUUCUAUUAAUAGAUUGUCAUGUUUAGGACUAAUUUACAUAGGACAAUUCUCUUAAUAGAUGACAUGUUUAGGACAAUUCAAAAUAACACGUUUAGGACAAAUUUCAAGACCAAUUCAAUAAAAGAUGAAGGGCUUAUUACAAGCGAAAGAAAUGUUAGUAAAAUGAUUGCAUUAGCAGAUUUGAAGACAUUGUCAGUUCUAUCUCCACUCCUACAUGUCUGGAGCCAAGCUGCAUAUAUCACAGCCCCUCUGACAGGAGAUGUUUUUCAAAUUCUAUUAAUAAAUUCUAUUAAUUUUCAUAUGUAAAUUAAUAGAUUUCAAAUUCUAAUAAUAGAUGGUCAUAUUUAGGACUAAUUUACAUGUUUAGGACUAAUUUGUAAUAAUAGAAUAUUAUUGAAUUGGUCUUGAAAUUUGUCCUAAACAUGAUAUUUGAA